AGAAGAACAGACAGCAAACAAUGGGAGUUCAGAGGAAAGGCCACACCCAGCGUUGAGGGAGGGUGUAGGAACCUAAAGGAAAAGCAGACAACAUCCAGGUAAAGAAGAGGACAAAGGACAGUGAUCCUGCAGAGAAAACACCAUUGAGCAAAGUUGGGAGGCAACCACGGCAGGAAUGCUUGCUCUUGGAAGCCAGUCACCACCAUGCUGUGAGGAAGAGCAAGCAACCACAUGGAGAGACCACUGUUCCAGCCAACAGCCCCAGCUGAGGUCCCAGCUGACAGCCUGCCUCAAAUCACCAAGGAUGUGAACAAAGAGGAUACAGCCAUGAAAAGGUUCAAAAACCUCCCAAGGGCUCACAGCUCAUAGGCAGCAGGAACAGGAUUCAAAUGCAGGUAAUCAAGACGCAGAGUCAUGCUCUUAACCACUAUCCUACGAGUUCUCGAAGCAAGAUCUGCAGACCCUUGGGAUCCUUAAGACCCUUUCAGAGGCUCCAGGAGAUACCACGUGGCAACUAACCUUUAAGAAACUACUGCUUGUCAAAUUUUGGUGGUGUAUCAAAGAAGAAUAUCCAUAAUUAUCUGAAAAGGCGAUUACAAUACUCUUCUUUUUGGUGAUUACAAAUCUGGGUGAGCCCAGAUUUUCUUCAUAUUUUUCAACCAAAAUAAUGUAUUGCUUCAGAUUGAAUGCAGAGGCAGACAAGCGAAUAUAGCAUCUUCUCUUAAGCAAGGCAUUGGAGAGACUAAAGGAAUCACUACCACCUGCCGGAAUGCAGCUGAGUUCGGCCAGGAGCAGACACUCUGAUGCUGUCCUGUGAUGAGAACAGGUUCUCCAGCCAGGGAGCUCUAAGGGAAGACUAUGACCAGGAGUCCAGGGAUCCCACAUUGUCACUCUGCACUUGGUCUACCAAAUUAAAUAGCUGGGCCAGGCGUGGUGGCUCACGUCUGUAAUUGCAGCACUUUGAGAAGCAGAGGCAUCUGGAUCACAAGGUCAGAAGUUCAAGACCAGCCUGGCCAAGAUGGUGAAACCCUGUCUCUACUAAAAAUACAAAAAUUAGCCAGGUACGGUGGCAGGCGCCUGUAAUCCCAGCUACUCGGGAGGCUGAGGCAGGGGUUGAACUGAAGGGGGCGGGAGGCAGAGGUUGCAGUGAGCUGAGACUGUGCCAUUACACUCCAGCCUGGGUGACAGAGUGAGACUCAGUGUCAAAAAUAAAUAAAUAUAUAGAAAGAUAGAUAGACAGAUAGCUGACAUUUGUAACAGUAUCAGAUAAAAUUAUUAAAUUAUGAUGGAUCCACUGCCUCCUUCCUUCAAACCUCAAAUCACUAAGUAAAAGACUAGCUAAUUCAAUAACAAAGCAAACAGAAACUCCUGCUUGGAAUUCUGGCUUCGGUGAAAUCAAGGAAUCAACACAAACUCCUUCCACCACAUUUGACAAUCCAGGGAUCACAGAAAGCCAGAGGUUUUUAACAUGCAGUCAGUCCUAGCAGUUUUCCCAGUGCCCAACCAAGACUAUGCCUAAAGGGUUUCCUAGGAGGGGAAAGUGCAGAGAGUGCAAGUGGUGUAACUGACACAUUUUUUAGUGCAAAUCUCUGUAUGACACAAGCAGACACAUACUGUGGCAAUGACUUACCGCUAAUGUGCACCUGUCAUCUUUGGCACUUGAGAGGCGAGAGAUAACUUCUAAUGUUUGAUGGACAUUUUAAGGCUUGAAAAACAAAGCACUUUCCUAUACAGUCCUAUUUUAUUCCUACCAUGGCCAAGUAAGGAACUCAGGAAAAGUAUUUUUUAAUAAAAUUUUUACUGUUAGCAUUCCAAUGAUAAAAAGUAAUGCUGCUUUCAUGUGAUUGAUCUGGGUAGUAGCUACAUGGGUAUCAUUUAUACUCAUUCAUUAAACUAUAUAUGGGUUUUCUGUACUUUUGUGUAUGAUGUAGUCUGCAAAAAAAAAAAAAAAAAGGAACAAAAGGUAAUAAAUGUUCAUUAUAGGCAAUCAGAAAAGGAGGUUUAAAAUCUCCUAUAAUCGCACCAGAGGAAACUACUAUUAAUUUGACACCUUCCUUUCUUAGUUUUUAUAAAAUUGAAAUCACUGACUGGGUGCGGUGGCUCAUGCCUGUAAUCCCAGCACUUUGGGAGGUCAAGAUGGGCGGGUCACUUGAGGCCAGGAAUCUGAGACUAGCCUAGCCAACAUGGCAAAAUCCCCUCUCUACUAAAAAUAGAAAAAUUAGCUCGGGCACGGUGGCAGGUGCCUUUAAUCCCAGCUUCUGAGGAGGCUGAGACACAAGAAUAGCUUGAACCCUAGAAGUGGAGGUUGUAGUGAGCUGAGAUCGCACCACUACACUCCAGCCAGGGAGACAGAGUGAGACUGAUUCUUUAAAAAAAAAAAAAAAUGGAAUCAUAGUUUCCAGGAUAUUUUGUAUAUUUUUCUUAAACUCAACAUAUCAUGUUUUCAUACGGCAUUAAAAUUCAACACUGCUUAAUAAAGAUAAACCUAGUUGAUUUAACCAAUUCCCAACUGUUCAAUGUUUAGGUUGUUUCAAAUUUAUUUCCAAAAUGACCAGAGGGCCUUUACUUCUAUUUCACGGAAAGUAACCUCGCAUGGAGGUAUACCCUCACUGCUGGUGGGCGGCAGAGCCAGGAAGAGUCAUGGCUCCCUGCGCCUGGAGGCCUCGUUCCCCCUACACGCUGCUUUGCACUUCCUCUGAUCACAAGGGUUUAACUUCACUGAUUAAAGGGGAAAACAGUGAAAGACAAUUUCCCAUGUCUUUCCUCCUGACCCUUUCCCAUGAACUCUCUGCCACCCCUAAACAGGGGAAUGGUCGACCAAGUUCAAGGUUAAGGUCGGGAAGCAUGAGCUUCUCUGGGACCUGGCCUGCAGAUGAAGGGGCAGCAGUGCAGCCCACAUGAGAUGUACUGCUGGGCCCAAAUAAUUACUUGGGAGUCCAGAGAAAGAGAAUAAACUUUUCAAAAGCACAGGGUUGCAGGGUUCGAGGUUAGUAGAGAGGUUUUAUAAAUAUUUACUGAACAAAACUCUGCCUGUUAACUGGCUGACACCGAGCAAGGUGUGGUUUUCCUUCCCACCCCCAGAGGCGGCUGGGAAAGUCAGUCUGACAAACCAGUGGGAAAUGCUGCCCAGCCGAGAUGGAACCAACAGACAGCAAGAAUGCCUAAGACGAUUCAGGAAAUGAGUCCAACCGUCUUCUCUCUGUCCUCUUCCCUCGCCCCCACAACUCCCACUUCUGUUCACUGAAGCAGGAAACCAUAGAGAAGACUCUCACAAACAAAACACUGGCCGCUGCAGUGAGCACCUCCAGUACCCGGCCAAACAAACAGCUCGGGUCACAGUGCACAGCGUAGCUGCUGCCCAGCAGGUAGAAGUAUCACUCACACCACUUCAUAUUGUGAAUGCCACUGUGUGGCAAUAAAAAUCAUGGGCCGUAGGGAGGUUGUAUAUAAGAAGGAAAAAAAAGUCCUAAUCUUCCUCUGGUUUGCUGGGUGGUCUGAAAAUUUUUUUUUGGCAAGGUCAUGUCCACUUUUUCAUACUCCUUGGUGACUUAAGUAGCCAACAACCUAGGUUUGGGAAGACAAACUUUCUUCAGAGAGAACCACAAGUAAAACAGUCUUAAAAGACCUUACCCUAUUAUAAGGACCCCAGAGAUCUCAAAAGGUACUGAAAAGAAACAAAAAUGUCUAGUUAUUGUUUACUGGACAAUCCCCCCAACACAUAUAUACAAAUUCAUUUCCAGCCCGAUUGAAAAAAAAAAACAAACCUGUUAUACAGUCUACCUGGUUUGACAAAUUUGACUUGGGGGCACCCUGAGUGGGUGAGGGGCAAUCAAAGUGAAAGGAAGCAACGUUACAGUACCAUUGAGGCCAAGACACCACCUGCUGCUCACAGCAACCAUGGAAACAAAAGCAGCUGGUUCCAAACACCAGCAUUCUCAAGGACGGGAGCGCCCAGUGGCAGGGCAAUUCACACAAGCAGCUCCAUGUUCUCCCAAUAAAAAAACUGGUACUGAUCUACUUGAUUACUUUCCUGUGAGCAGAACUGUGGAGGCCACCAGAGAAUCACAAUUCGGAAGAACCAGCCUUUCCAUUACUAGAACACAGGUUCAAACGGAAUGUCUCUCGCUUCUGGAUCCAAAAAGCCAGCUCUCACUAACAGGAGGUGAAGCAGCUUCCACAGGCCUCACGAGAAGCCAAGCAGAUGCAAGCACCACAAUUUCUGUGCAGACUGCAGAACUCCCAGUCUUGGCCAGGUGCGGUGGCUCACACCUGUACUUCGGGAGGCCGAGGCGUGUGGAUCACGAGGUGAGGAGAUCGAGACCAUCCUGGCUAACACAGUGAAACUCCCAUCUCUACAAAAAUACAAAAAAUUAGCCUGUGGCACACGCCUGUAGUCCCAGCUACUCGGGAGACUGAAGCGGGAGAAUCGUUUGAACCCAGGAAGCAGAGGUUGCAGUUAGCUGAUAUCGUGCCACUGUACUCCAGCCUGGGUGACAGAGCAAGACUCCAUCUCAAAAAUAAAUAAAUAAA